GUAAAACCGCCCCGCCCCCUUUCCCGUGUCCUCGCCCGCCUGCGUCCCCACUCGACUCCUCGCCGCCCUAGCUCUGAUGGUUGACGCGAGGCCACGGUGAGGCGCGUGGCCUCUGGGCGUCAGGAGGCCGCGACGAACGGGGCCGCCCUCGCUGCCGGCGCGGUGCGCAGGCUGCACAAUCCCUUUCUUCCUCUAAUCCCCAAGGCAAUGAACGGAGCGGAUAGGAAACAGGGUCUUGUUUCCCUGCUUUUUGAGAUGUCGUCCUCGAGCAUGCGUCACGAGAUGGACCUCUUGAAGCUAUGAGGAUCUGUUUUCCAAUUUUCCUUAACAUGUCCUGGCUGUUUGAUCUAGCCAUUCUUGCAGGCUUUCUUGGUCUCUUGUGUAGCAGGAUUAUAGGUGGAGACAGUGAGUGACGGGAUGAAGGAAUUCUUUGCUUAAUUCAAGGGGCUAGCGGAAAAUGAUGCCCAGCACAGAGAGCUGAGUUUAAGACCUCAGUUCAGGCAAGUACAUCGGCACCAGUAUUGCAUCAGUUCAACAUAUUUCCUGGCACUGUGGGAUCCAUCGGCUACUUUCAGAUUUUCUGGCACUCUGGGAUCCAUAGAGAAGCACAACUCAUAGAAGCGUACUCAGCAGAUUUGAGAAGAUGCAAAAAAAAUCAUGUGACUGCAUCCUGCCACCGCUGCUUUGUCAGAGAAGGCUUCAGUUUGAAAAAAAAGAGGCAAACUAAGAGCUGCCCCUUCUUACUGCAAUAGCAGGAGAUCAUCGUCAGCCUCCAUGCCCAUCCUCAGAAACAGGUACCGAGGUACGUACGUGCACAUGUGUGGUAUGGUGAUUACUGAUUACUCCUCCUGCAGCACAAGUGCAAUUUGAUAAUCCUCUUCAGUACUACUAGACCUACGAACGAGUAGUAUACCAUGGUAACAACAAACUCCUCAAUUAGUAGUAUACUGCAAAUAUAUGAAUGAAUGCCUGUCUUGGCACUCUCCUCUUUUUAAUAUAGCAGGCAGCUCUUCUGCCGGUUUGUUUCAAAAAAAUAUAUAAAUGAACUACUAUAUGAUUUGAUAUGCCUCAAAGGCGAAGAGUGUUUAAAUGUAAUAACC